GACGAACGCUGGCGGCGUGCCUAAUAUAUGCAAGUAGAACGCUGAAGCUUGGUGCUUGCACCGAGCGGAUGAGUUGCGAACGGGUGAGUAACGCGUAGGUAACCUGCCUGGUAGCGGGGGAUAACUAUUGGAAACGAUAGCUAAUACCGCAUAAGAGUAGAUGUUGCAUGACAUUUGCUUAAAAGGUGCAAUUGCAUCACUACCAGAUGGACCUGCGUUGUAUUAGCUAGUUGGUGAGGUAACGGCUCACCAAGGCAACGAUACAUAGCCGACCUGAGAGGGUGAUCGGCCACACUGGGACUGGGACACGGCCCAGACUCCUACGGGAGGCAGCAGUAGGGAAUCUUCGGCAAUGGACGGAAGUCUGACCGAGCAACGCCGCGUGAGUGAAGAAGGGUUUCGGAUCGUAAAGCUCUGUUGUAAGAGAAGAACGAGUGUGAGAGUGGAAAGUUCACACUGUGACGGUAUCUUACCAGAAAGGGACGGCUAACUACGUG
rnacentral:rRNA from 1 species